CAACCCGUACGCAAAAAUGCAGUUGCGUACACAUCGAAAAUAUUACAAAAAUAAAAUUAUUGUAAAUCUAGUAAGAAUAAAACUAAAGUAAUAGAUUAAAUUAAAAACUAUCUUACAAACAUGUUAAUAAUCACUUUGUAGCUAUAUUCCGUUCCUGAAAUUACGUUUUAUUUACGGAGCCAGCAUCAUGAUUAUGUUGCUGAUGCAAACAAUAUAAAUGAUCCUCGAGGUGUCAGAAAACAAUUCUAUGCCUCCUUACCAAGUCCUGACAUCUUUUCUGAAGAUUUCAAAAUAACUGACGAAAUAAAAUAUGUCGUUCUAAAGAGACCAUGGACAACGAUUCAUUCCCAUGAUUUUCAUGUGAGUCGUUCUAUUUUUGUUCAUACAAAAGUUCACAUGUUGCUGACGGGAAUGAACACUGGAUAUGCCAUAUAUGUAUGGAGGGACGGUUAUGACCCAACGAUACCCGGAUGUAGCGAAAGUGACUUUCUAAACUGGGAUAAACAUUCAAAAUGCUUUACACAUACCUGGGCUAGUCAUAGCAUUAGACAAUGGCUAUGGAGCACAUGUAAAGUCCAAGGAAGAGAAAUUCGAAAGAUAUUUCUUGCAGACGUUCAUCAUAAAUUGCGUGAUGGGUUUAAUUCCAAAUCGUGCGGACUUCCUGGAAUUCAAUUGAUAAAACAAACAUUAAAUGAAGGUCAUUCAACAGUGCUUGUGCUCCAGAUCUAUGCACUCUUUGCUGUUAGUGAUAUUGACGUAUCAGAAAAGGAUUUGAUUAAGCACGUGGUCUGGUACAACGAUCAUUGUGCAGCUGCAAAUGAAAAGUUUGAUGGAGUUGCAGUCAACAAUGAAGCAUAAUUGUAUGCAUCAAUAAAAUGUCACAGUGGACAAUCAGAACAGACGCGGUACUUACAACACCUAAACAUGAUUAAAACGGAAAGCAUGAAACAGAUCCAUGGUCGUUUACUUACCCAUUACUCCGUCAGCUGGCACUGGGGACGCUGUGGUAGUACACAGAAAAUGAUUACGUUCAACGGGAAAACACAAGACGUAGUCAGACACAUGAUUGACAUUUUCGAUAGUAUAGAUGUUCAGGUUGGUUACAUCACGUUCCCCCAAAUAUCUGACCGAGCUAAAUUGGCAGGAUACCAGUAUGCUUUAGAUAACAGCAAGGAAGUGUUCGUCACACUCUACACCAAUAAGGGCGAUCCUUGCCAGACAACUUUUUUUCCAUCUCCUUGUAACAAAGGUAACCAUACAGAAGCUGGAAUGCUUGAUGUCUUUGAUAAGUUUAAGAAAUAUGGAAUCGAGCACGCCCGUCCGUGCAUUCACUAUUUCAGAGGAAUAUAUUCCAGUGGUGGGAAUCGUGAUUGGCCAAUACAUUGACAUCAACAGACCCUGAACAACAGAGAUCGAACUCAAGUAUUCAUAAAGAUUCUGAUAUUACAUGUCUAUAGAAACGUAUUUUUCCAACUCCUUGUUUGUCAUGCAAAUUUAUCUUUGUAUUUAGUUUCCUAAAAUACGUUAUUUAAGCGACAAGCACUGA